UACGUAGGGAGCAAGCGUUGUCCGGAAUCAUUGGGCGUAAAGCGCGCGUAGGCGGCCCUGUAAGUCCGCUGUGAAAGUCAAAGGCUCAACCUUUGAAAGCCGGUGGAUACUGCAGGGCUAGAGUCCGGAAGAGGGAAGCGGAAUUUCAGGUGUAGCGGUGAAAUGCGUAGAUAUCUGAAGGAACACCAGUGGCGAAAGCGGCUUCCUGGUCCAGUACCGACGUUCAGGCACGAAAGCGUGGGGAGCAAACAGG
rnacentral:rRNA from 1 species